rnacentral:rRNA from 1 species
GGGAAUCUACCCAGAUCUACGGAACAACAGAGGGAAACUUCUGCUAGUACCAUAUACGCCCUACGGGGGAAAGAUUUAUCGGAUUUGGAUGAGCCCGCGUAAGAUUAGCUAGUUGGUGAGGUAAUGGCUCACCAAGGCGACGAUCUUUAGCUGGUCUGAGAGGAUGAUCAGCCACACUGGGACUGAGACACGGCCCAGACUCCUACGGGAGGCAGCAGUGGGGAAUAUUGGACAAUGGGCGCAAGCCUGAUCCAGCCAUGCCGCGUGAGUGAUGAAGGCCUUAGGGCUGUAAAGCUCUUUCAGUGGGGAAGAUAAUGACGGUACCCACAGAAGAAGCCCCGGCCAACUUCGUGCUAGCAGCCGCGGUAAUACGAAGGGGGCUAGCGUUGUUCGGAUUUACUGGGCGUAAAGCGCACGUAGGCGGUUUGUUAAGUCAGAGGUGAAAUCCUGGAGCUCAACUCCAGAACUGCCUUUGAUACUGGCAAGCUCGAGUCCGGAAGAGGUAAGUGGAACUCCUAGU